UCCGGUGUCUAGGGAAAUACGAAACUGCCAUUCAGGUCCUUUUUGACCCUGGAUGGAUAAGGAUUGAGAACUUCAGAGAGAGCUCAAUUAUUGGGUCUCAUAGAGAGCGAUAGAGAGAUCGGGUGGGUGUCAUAGAUUCAGAGGAAAUCGAUCGAGAGAUCGGGUGGGUGUCAUAGAGAGCGAUAGACACAGACAAAAAGAGACAGAGAGAGAGGUUAUUUGCUCUGCAACGCAAGCCCGAAGGAAUCAUACAUAAACCGGUAAGACAAACAGAUCGAAAUUCAUGAAGGUCAAAUUAACAACAAGAAAACCCAUCGCUUCAGCUUUUGGGUUUUGGUUUAUUUUCUGGACACAGAGAAAGAUAGAGCGAAGUAAACAGGGGAAGAAGGGGGAGAAGAAGAGGCCCUCCCUUCAAAAUGUCCAUCAGUAGUGUGGAGUUUGCCAUCGGAGGCUUAAUCGUGGAUACCAAGGUGUUCUAUGGCCAAGAAAGGUCUUUUGCUAUGGAUUUCUGUGUGCUUAGCUUUGCUAAUUGAAGAAGAUGAAUGGGAAAAUGAGCUCUUCUUCAGCUUCAGAAGGACGAUACUGGAUCAGUACGUCUGUGCUUAAAGGAAGGAGCUUUUUUUGGUGUUUGAGGGAAGUAGGAUUUGGCAAGUCUGAUAUAAAGAGAAUAAAGGUGAGGCUAGGGACGAUUAAGAAGAAGAGGAACGCUGUGCUGAAGUAUCUGAAGAAUAAUGUUGCUCAUCUUCUCAAGAUUGGCCUUGAUAUUAAUGUAUAUGGAGGGGUGGAGCUGGGAGCAGCACAGCAGUUCAAAAAGUCAUGCCUGCUGCUCUAGCAGAUAUGACAUAAAGCAUACUUUCAACAAAUUGAAGAUGUUCAGAAAUAUUCAAAGGCUUUAACGGACAUGAAAAGGGAGUUCUUUCCAAACAAAAGACAUGAAUGAGCUGUUAGAGUUCCACAAGAAUUAGAUUCCAUUCUUGAACAUUUGAUUGGUUGAGACAUAGGUUUUAUCAAGGUUUGAAGGAAUCACUACAAAGAAGUUAAGAACUAUGAGGACAACAGCAGCACUCCACUCAUAAUUAAAUGCAAUGAUCACAGAACUACACAUUUGGAAAAUAGAGGCUCCUCUUUUGUCUGCUCAUUAAGAAGACUGAGCGUUAUUUCACCAAGAUCAGAAGGAAAAAUAGGUAAACCGGAGCAAACAAAAGAUGAAGAAAUUAAGAAAUUUCAGUCAAAAGACCCACCGACUUCAAUAUCCUCAUCCGGGUAAGAGAAGUUGCAUGGAGCUGGCGCUAAAGAGUAGUUCAACCUUAUGUUGUUGCAGGAAAUAAGAGAAGUACAGACCAGUGGAGAGGCGUAGGCUACUGGAACCCAAAAUUAUAAGAAGCAAUUCGAAGGAUGCGCUAAAAUCUCAAAAAUGCUCUGGAGGACAUUUCAGUAUGCGUUUAAGUUUGAGAGGAGAGCGAAGAGUUGAGAGGAAUAAUAGAGACCCCAGUGCUCACCACGAUAUCAACUAUUGAAGCUUCAACGUGCUAGAACUAGAAGGAAUGAGGAUGACCCGUAUGAGAAUAUGGAUGCCAAAAUCAACUGGGCUUUAGAGCAGGCCUUCAAUUUGAAGCUUGAUUUCAGUGAGACUGGGGAUGAUUUUGUUGUUUUUCGAAGACUGAUGCCGGAAUGAUGCUCAGGUAUGUACUAGAGAAACUCAAAGAGGGUUACAUUGAAGGAUUUAUAAAAAAUGGUUGCAUGUAAAACCCUCCUUUGAUGCUCUUAGAUAUUCUGGUGUUGGCUUCUCCAGUUCCGAAAUCUGUUAUUGGAUAUUCAUGUGGAGUUUAGAGAGAAGUACAAGAAGGAACAUCCCAGCAACAAAUCGGGGAGAGCUCCCUACCCGGCCAAGGCAGAGAAGAGAGGUUGAAUAGAACAACAUGGAAGUUUAUAACAAGAAACGAGUGUUUCUGUUUUAAUUGUUAAUCUCUGGGAAAUAUUGGUAUGAUCACUGAACACUGUACAGUGGAAUCUGUUAAAGGGUUGAAAGUUGUGUCACUCUGUUGUGACUAUUUCAGUCACCAACAACAAAAGGCUACCUCCAAACUGACCCUCUCCUUACAACACAGCAAGAGUAGUAGAGGAAAUGAACUGCUUGAAGAUGGUUGUAGGUCAUGUGCUAUCUCUCACUAUUCUUGCAUUUUUUUGCAGUUUUUGUGCCCGUGAGGCAUAAGCUCCUCCACUGGUUGCUGCUUCGGAUUGUGAGAGAAUAAUUACCGUGCUUCGGGUGGUUUUGGGUUUAUAGUUAUCUCUCAAGGAAUGAGCUUUUCCUUUGUAAAGGUCUGAUUCUCAAUUUCUAACAAUGCAAGUAAUUUGAAUAUGUGUGUAUUUUUGAAUGAACCCUACA